rnacentral:rRNA from 1 species
GAUGAACGCUGGCGGCGUGCUUAACACAUGCAAGUCGAACGAUGAAGCCCAGCUUGCUGGGUGGAUUAGUGGCGAACGGGUGAGUAACACGUGAGUAACCUGCCCUUAACUCUGGGAUAAGCCUGGGAAACUGGGUCUAAUACCGGAUAGGAGCGUCCACCGCAUGGUGGGUGUUGGAAAGAUUUAUCGGUUUUGGAUGGCCUCGCGGCCUAUCAGCUUGUUGGUGAGGUAAUGGCUCACCAAGGCGACGACGGGUAGCCGGCCUGAGAGGGUGACCGGCCACACUGGGACUGAGACACGGCCCAGACGCCUACGGGAGGCAGCAGUGGGGAAUAGUGCACAAUGGGCGCAAGCCGGAGGCAGCGACGCCGCGUGAGGGAUGACGGCCUUCGGGUAGUAAACCUCUUUCAGUAGGGAAGAAGCGAAAGGGACGGGACCUGCAGAAGAAGCACCGGCUAACUACGU